AGCUUAAUUGAUCAUGGCUCAGAUUGNCACGCGGGGUUACAUGCUUUACACAUGCAAGUCGAACGGUAACAGGUCUUCGGAUGCUGACGAGUGGCGAACGGGUGAGUAAUACAUCGGAACGUGCCUAGUAGUGGGGGAUAACUACUCGAAAGAGUAGCUAAUACCGCAUGAGAUCUACGGAUGAAAGCAGGGGACCUUCGGGCCUUGUGCUACUAGAAGCGGCUGAUGGCAGAUUAGGUAGUUGGUGGGGUAAAGGCUUACCAAGCCUGCGAUCUGUAGCUGGUCUAGAGAGGACGACCAGCCACACUGGGACUGAGACACGGCCCAGAACUCCUACGGGAGG
rnacentral:rRNA from 1 species